UAUGUGUAUGUAUACGUACGUACAUAUGUGUGUAUAUAUGUGUACGUAUGUAUGUGUAUAUAUAUGUGUACGUAUGUAUGUGUAUAUAUAUGUGUACGUAUGUAUGUGUAUAUAUAUGUGUACGUAUGUAUGUGUGACAUCACAGGGGAUUCUUUUUGUAUGCAAGGUUGGUUUUGUAAAAUUCUCCGUAACUCUCGAAGACACGCUUGGAAAUAUGUUAUUCUUAUGCAUCAUGUGGGUCUUUCACCAUGAGAAAUGGUUCUUUAUAAAAUACCAUUAAACGGUCAUAGCUAUAAAAGAGCAGCCCUGAGAAUGGCUUUGUUGAAGUUAUUUUCUGCACUUAAGAAUAAUGCAAAACAGGGAGAUGUGUUCAAGCAAGGAUUGGGGUCAAUUCCAUUUUGAUUCAUUCUGGAAGUGAACUUCCAAGUCAAGAAUUUGAAUAAAAUCUUUUUUUUCCAUGAUUGAAUUGGAAUUUGAGCACUUUAAAUGGCAUUGACCACCAACCCUGGUUGGUACAUCCAGACGCAGGAUAAUGCUGCUAGUUGAAUUUCUCUCCCGUAGCUGAAUGCGUGCAGACGUUCUGUGAAAAAGCGAGGGACAAUAGUAGUUUCUAAACUGUUCACUUGUUGGGUACACAUUGGAUCCAAGCCAACUUCAUGGCAUUCCAACAUACCAUCUCUUAGCCCUAGCUAACAUCCAGUGGCUCUUAAACACCAAUGUUUUAUUUUCAAUUUUAUUUUUCUUCUGCAAAAGCCUCCUUUGCUCAAAGAAUGUCACUUGUUUUACAAACGCAUUUUGUACAGAAGCUAGCUAAGAGUAUUUUGAAGUUUGCUUUAAUAUAACCAACAGUGAGUGGAUCGUACCAUGAAGACUAUUAGGAAGUCUGACAGUGGAAUGGUAUUUUAUAAUGUUUGUUUUAAAAAAAAUAAUCUUUUUACAAUGCAUUCAAGUGUUUGCUAUUUCUUGUUCCUACCUAAAGUACUAAUUCUCUUUGCUAUGCCUAAAAAGCCCUUGAAGGUUUUGUACUCUUUGAAAAACUUUUAUAAUUCUGAUUUAUUUCUAGCUAUGUACGCAAAAAUUAACAAGAACAAUAAAUCUAAACUUUAAUGUGGAUGUAUCCAUAACACCCUGGACCAUGUAGGUAAAUACCAGUGGAUGUAUCCAUAACACCCUGGACCAUGUAGGUAAAUACCAGUGGAUGUAUCCAUAACACCCUGGACCAUGUAGGUAAAUACCAGUGGAUGUAUCCAUAACACCCUGGACCAUGUAGGUAAAUACCAGUGGAGAUUUCUUUUGUUUGUUUCAUUUUGUCUUCGCCCUCACCCAUGUUAUCUUCUCUCACUCACACAGAUGCUGAGACUCUGCAACCUACGCAUCUGACUGUUGUAAUAUCAAUCAGAUCUUUGAAACGUCUAGAAUAAAAAAUCUAUUUUGAUAAUAA